rnacentral:lncRNA from 1 species
ACAAUUACGGUAGUUGGAGGGUCAGAGAUGCCGUCUGGAACAUAUUUCUUACAAGGUCUCAAUUAGAACAUUAAUCACUGCAUAUAGAAAUUUAAAUUGUCGAUGACUUCUCUAGAUUUAAUUGGGUUUAAUUUUUGGCACACAAAAAUGAAACUCUAAUAUAUUCUACAAAUUUUAGUAAAAGAACCCAAAAUAAAUUAGGAUAUAUCCCAUUAAGAACAUUAAAAGUGUGCGAGAGAAUUU